AUGAAGUUGAAGAGAGAGGAUAUGUGGUGCCGACCGUCCACCGCCGACCUCUCUCUGUUUCAGAUCUACUCCUCUACAAAUCACUUCGGAUAUCCUCCGAUUCGCAUAACCACUUGUGCAUCACUCCAGAUCCACCACCAUAAUUUUUCGGUAACUCUUUUGUUUUCAUUGACGCUAUAUUAA